GUCAUGGAAGUUCACUGUUCUGUGUUUUUCCUCUGCAGGGCAGUGGGCAUUCAAAACACUGGGCUCAAAAUGAUGUCAGUGAAACUAACACUGUCCAUCACAUACAAUCCUAACCACAAAACAUCCUCUUAGCUCUUGGUUUCCUCUGAGGUCCACGUUGCCGUGGGUCAGUGAUGAAAACUAGCCAAAUCUGAGAGUUAGGAAUCAGGUGUUCCAUCUAUGAUUAUCCUUGAGAAGCUUUGUGCAUCUUGAGUGUCUGAGUGCUAGUUACUUUGUGUUUGUUGUUGACGGGUGGGUGAUGUGCCAAAACUAUAUUGAUAUUGGGACUUUUAUAAUGUAAUCCAUGUCGUUAAAAAAAUCAUGGGCUUUAAAAUAAAUUAAUAGUAAUGACCAGCUCUCUUAUUACUUCUCAGUAACAUGUUACUGAAUGUUAAAACCUCUUACCACUUCUCUUUUCUUCUUUUGUUUUGUUAAACAUUUAAGGUGUUACCCAUUUUAAUAUUCCCAAGUAUUGUGAUGUUUUUGCCAUUUUACUCACCUGUCUGUGUGUGUUGGGGGGGGGGGGUAUUAUGUCUGAGCAAUGAUGUUAAUCUAAUUUGCCUGAGGUGCAAGUCAAUACUAAUUGCUUGCAUUUUACUGAUGGCUUCUACACUUGAACUGAGCUCAUAAUGUAUUUUUGUUGUCAACAAAAAUCUGGAGCAACAAAUUGUCACUCCUUUUCCCAUCAUGUCUGUGUGAACCUAGGACUGGUCUUGAAGACUGUUACAGCUGGCACUGCCAACUUCACAGCUUAUUAGACAUGAAGUUGCCCAACACUUAAUUCAGGACUGGUCUUAACGACUGUUCCAGCUGGCACUACCAACCUGACCUUUAUUAAACAUGUAAAGUUGCUCAAGGAUGCUUAGCACUUCAGAUUUCCAGAUGGCACACAACGGUCUGUUCUAGCCUAUGAAACCAUAUAUCAACGGUGCUAUUGGUUGGCGAGGUGUCUACACAGACAUGAUUGGCUAUAUCAGAGGUGAGAUUUCCAGAGCCCUGCAAUGGAUUGGUGCCCUGUUCAUGGCAUUCCUGCCUUGCGUCGUGUUUUCUUCUGGAACCGGACCUACCACAACCCAGGCCAGGAUUAAGCGGUUGAUGAAAAUGAAAUUAGAUGUCCUUUUACCCAGUUGUAUCUCCUCUACUGCUACAGACCCCUACAUUGACCAAAAACGGCCAUACCAAACACAUGCCCCCUCCAACACGUGGACCAACUGCUUCUUUUUACCUGCAUUCGUCAGGUUCACACAAAGAUCAGUAUCAUGUAUGGACAGUCACACACUUGUCUCUUGAAUGAGACUUUUUACUCUUUAAAAAGUGUUUCAUUACAGUCAGCAUAUUUUCCUACAUCACAUGUAUUACAUGAAUUAGAUUAAUAACUACAACAAUUAAACUUAACAUAAUAACAUAUAAAUGCAAAUAUGGAGCUGACUGACAGUAACCAUACCUCCAAACAAUCGCACUACCACUGCCUUUUCUUGUCUAUUGGUGUAUUGUUUGUAAUUGACAUUUGCCAGACAGAACAAGAUCGUUGUUCCAAUAAAAAGUUGUCUAUUAUUCCUAUCCAUUUAAUUUUUGUCUAGUUUAUACUGUACCGACCUAAACACUGAUUUUAUUUUUUUAUCUUGUUUUGAGUUGUUAAGUCUUGCAGACUUUUAGCAGCCCAGGUAAUCCUGUGCAAAUUCAGCACUGUUCAAAGUUUCCUCCAUGUAAAGAUAAUGAUGCUUGCUGUGAUUUCCUAGACCCUUAGACUGACUGAUGAGAAGGUUUGAGAUAGAAGUAAGAUUUAUAUUCUAUAGGGCUAACCUAAAAUCAAGACUGUUAAUCUGUUUAUUUGGCUUGAUUGGAUUACCAGUUAAAUGUUUUUUUCCUUUUAAUUACAAGGGUGAUGUGUUGGAUAACAUUGUUCCCUACCAUUGUUUUCAAUUGUGUAUUUGCUCAGUUUCUGUUUUUGUUUGGUUUAUAAUCUGUAAUCAUUUACUCUGGUGAAUACAAUAACAGAAAAUGUACUGGUACAUAUUUUAAGAACAGUAUGUGUUGUACAAGAUUGAGUGGAAAAAGAAAAUGUAAACAAACCUAUAACACAAUCCUAACCUGAGUUCAGUGCUGCAUUCCUCUCACUUGGUACUCUGUUGGGACUUUUCUUUUGAAAGUCCUGGUCACAUCUGUUUUGUCAGUGGAGUGAUUAACAUAGCCAUGAACAAGUAUUUCAAUUCUGUUUGUUGAAUUGUAAGUCAUUUUGAUUUUUGGUUUCUAAAAUGAGACUUGCUAUUUUAGGAACACUGUAACUCAGCGUUGGCUAGGUGUUGUAAGUGGUUACCUAGCAGUUCUGCAAGUAACCAUGGAUCCUUAUUACUGUCAUUGCACAACUGUUCAAUGAUUAUAGAAAACUUACAUGGUAUUAAAGCUGAUUAGACAAUGA